GACGAACGCUGGCGGCGUGCUUAAUACAUGCAAGUCGAACGGAAAGGCCCUGCUCUUGUGGCGUGCUCGAGUGGCGAACGGGUGAGUAACACGCGUGUAACCCGCCCUUGAAUUUGGGAUAAAAUCAGGAAAAUGGGGCUAAUACCGGAUAGGAGCUCCUGCAGCAUGGGGGUGGUUGGAAAGUUUCGGCGGUUGGGGAUGGACUCGCGGGUUACCAGCCUGUUGGUGUGGUAGUGGAUUACAAAGGGUUUGACGGGUAGCCGGCCUGAGAGGGUGGACGGCGACAAUGCGACUGAGAGACGCACCAGACGGCUACGGGAGGCAGCAGGGGGGAGUAUUGCAGAACAGGCGGAAGCCAGAUACAGCAGUGCCGCGAGCGGGAUAAUGGGCUUCGGGUGAUAAACCGCUGUCGCCUGUACUGAGGAGGGAGUGACGGUAAUGAAUAAGAAAGCAACGGCUAACUACGUG
rnacentral:rRNA from 1 species